CAAAGAGCUCCCCCUUUCCCUUCCUCAAGUACCUGCAGCUGCCACCAGCCUGUCCCCUCUUCCUUCUCUUCUCACACACAGUGCUGCACUGGUGUACAGGGCAGACAUACUUAGAGCAUUUAGGUGCUGGACCUCUGCAGUCCCCUCCUGUUCUAACAGUACUCCAUGCCAGAUCUGCUCCUACUGUUGGUCUUCUACGGCUAGAGAGAAGACAAGAGCGAAGAAGGAGGGAAGAAGCAGAAGAAGCAGAAGAAGCAUCCUUUUUUUUUAUCUCCACAGGACAAAGUUUUCCAGGGAGGCUGCAUGUAGUGUCAUCCAUACCUGUCCAAUGUGUUAGCAGGACUUGUGGCUUAUUUACUGCUAUAUCCAAUUGUAAGAGCUUUAUUUUGCUGUGUGGGCCAUCUGCCAGGGUGACAGCAUCAUGCCCACCUUUGAUGAAGUGCUACAGGAGGCUGGUGAGUUUGGGCGCUACCAGAAAAGGGUCUUCCUCCUACUAUGUAUGACGGGCAUAACUUUCGCCUUUUCAUUUGUGGCCAUUGUGUUCUUGGGACAGAUACCGGAGAGUUACUGGUGCAGGAGUUCAGAGGUGGCAGAACUUAGUAGGACCUGUAGAUGGACCCCAGAGGAAGAGAGGAACCUCACUGUACCAAGGCUAUAUCACGACAAUUCUCACCAGGUUCUGUGUCACACGUAUGACAUCACCUGGAAUACCAGUAGCUCACCUCUCAGCUGUGAGAACCCUAUUUAUUCUGUCACAAACCAGAGCUUGGAGAAGCUGCCCAUAAAGCCAUGUGAGGAUGGAUGGGUCUAUGAAGAAUUCCGCACAACCAUCAUAAGCCAGUACAACCUGGUAUGCACAGAUGCAUGGAAACUUGACAUGACACAAGCAUCACUGAACUUGGGAUUUUUGAUAGGGGCUCUGACAUUGGGUUAUGCUGCAGACAGAUAUGGAAGAAAAGUCACGUACCUGAUUUCAUCCUUUGGAGUUGGAGUGUGUGGAAUUGUUGUAGCAUUUGCACCAAACUUUUAUGUUUUGGUGCUUUUCCGUUUUCUACAAGGUAUCUUUGGGAAAGGAACAUGGAUGACAUGCUAUGUUAUUGUAACAGAGUUGGUGGGAUCAAAACAGAGACGUAUCGUUGGUAUUGUGGUUCAAAUGUUUUUCACUUUGGGAGUAAUGAUCAUUCCUGGCAUUGCUUACUUGAUUCCUACAUGGCAGGGCAUUCAGCUGGCCAUUUCACUGCCAAACUUCCUGUUUCUUCUUUAUUACUGGUUCAUUCCUGAAUCUCCUCGAUGGCUGCUCAUACGGAAAAAGAAAGACAAGGCUUUACAUAUUAUAGGCGACAUUGCUAAACACAAUGGAAGGUAUCUCACACCAAACUACUGCCAGAUAACAGUUCCUGAUGAGGAUGUAACCAAUCCUGCAUGUAUGGAUUUGGUCAGAACUCCACAAAUGAGAAAGUGCACUAUAAUUCUGAUGUAUGCCUGGUUUACAAGUGCAGUCAUCUACCAAGGUCUUGUUAUGCGGCUAGGGAUUGUGUCUGGAAGUCUGUAUACAGACUUUUUUAUCUCUGCAGUUGUGGAAUUACCAGCAGCCAUUCUUAUUCUACUCUCUAUUGAUCGUGUUGGGAGAAGACUUCCAUUUGCUUUGAGUAAUGCUGGAGCAGGAAUUGCAUGUUUAAUAACUGCUGCAAUAUCCACAGAUCUCUUGUGGCUAAAAAUUACCCUAGCAACUUUAGGACGUCUCGGAAUCACCAUGGCAUUUGAAAUUGUAUAUUUUGUAAAUACAGAAAUAUAUCCAACACCGCUGAGAAACUUUGGUGUAUCCUUGUGUUCAGGCAUGUGUGACCUAGGAGGCAUUAUUGCUCCAUUUUUACUUUUUCGAUUAGCAGAAAUAUGGGUGGAACUUCCUCUCAUCAUAUUUGGAAUACUUGGCCUUAUUUGUGGUGGUCUAGUCUUGUUAUUGCCUGAGACAAUGGGCAUUUCCUUACCAGAAACAAUUGAAGACGUUGAGAAUCUUGGAAGGUGAACAGAACUGAAGACACAAUUCCAAGGUUUCACAUCCUCUGAUCCUUUUGUAAGGAAAUAGUAAAAAGGUUAAACAGUGAUGAGGGAGAAGUUAUGGACGAUGCUCAUGAAAAAGUGAAUAUAUUAAACACAUUCCUCAGCACUGUAUUUAUGGAGGAAAAUCAAAUGUCAGGCCAAUGAACAAUGACAAGAAAGAAAAAAUGGACAUAUGUAUUCUUGACAGUCACCUAAAAAGUGAUGGUGUUAAAUUAUGACCUUUCACCGAGCACAUCUUAAAAUAAAUAUACUUAUAGUUCUGUAAAUGUAUCCCUAAGUAUCUAGAGCUCACUAUGCCUAAAACAGGCCAGCAUAGAAAUCAUAUUUGUGGUUCGUACCAGCGUGGACAAAUGUAAUCAGUUAUUUUAUACAUCAAAAUAUAUAUGAUUUUUUUUUUUAAAUAAAAUUUGUAUUUUCACACAGUGCACAGCAAUUUUAAGUUAUAAAAUAAGUUGUAAGCAACUGUAAUAUAGCUACUGAGAAGAAAGCUGCAUUCUCCUAGUAAAGCUUUAAAGAGAAUCUCAGCUAGGAUUAUGUACACUCUGGUGUUUUGCAUAUUCACAGAGCCUAUAAAGUGUCCAAUAUUUCCUUAUUAUACAUCAACGAAGAGGUAGGAGACCCUAUACUUUUGUGAAAUAAAAGAUGACACCUGCUAUUUGCAGCAUCCAAGCAUUUCUUAUUUAAGAGUAGAUCUUAUUGCAGUGAUACCCUGGGAUGUGGCAAUCGUGUUAAUGAUAACAAUCAAACAGAACACACUUAGCACGCCUUAACGCCACAAUGUUUUAUUUAUUAUGUAAUUAAGUGAUCUGGUUCCUUUUCUUUUUGUAGGUGUGUAGUAAUCAUUUAACUAUACAUUUUGUUAUAUGCAUCAGAUCAAUGGAGAACACACUAACUGAUAUAAAGGUUAGAAGAAUUGUAAUAUAAUUGCUAAGUAGGCAACACAGAACUUUAGGUGUUUGACAGAUGGCUCAGAUUAGCGAGCUGUGAUUUUGUGUGCAAAUGGUUUAUUCCGACCAUACGUUAGCCGCAUGUCGAUAUUGUAAUAUUGCAUAUUAUAGUAGUUUAAUAAAACCAGUAGUUUGACAAGCUCCUGCCCCUGGCCAACUUCGAUGACCACCAGUCCCUCUCCAUUCAACUUGGUGGUCAGAUCUGGUAGACAAAGGUCUUCCCUCCUUCUUUUAACAACAGUUUCUGUACUUCAAUAACAAAGAUAUACGUGCAGGGUGCUUAUGUAUGUCACAUAAAAUUAUUCCUAUUGCUACAAACAAAAUAUGUAAUAUAAGUUACAUAUUGAAAAUACGCUGAAUAUUAAUGUGCAAUGCAAAUAAAUAUUUUUGCAUGAAAGAGUAAUUUCCUAUAAAUUAUCCCAAGUUGUUUGCUCCUGUCCAGUUCCAGGCUAGAAUUUAAAGGGAAUCUCCAUGGGAGGAGUGUAGGUCAAUCAGGACAAAUAACAAUCACAUAAAACAUUGUUACUCUAAUGUACACUCAGCAACGAAUAGAUCAUGUUUUUAAGUGUUUAUAUAGUUUAGAACAAGUAAUUAAAGUAACUUUAUGAUACAAUGUAACAAACCAAAACAUAUGAAGGAUGCAGCUUCGGAGUAAGCUUUAAUGAUGUGCUAGUUAACACUGUAUGUACUCAAUAGUGAAACAUAAUCUCUUUACGGAUGUUCAAGCCACACGGUGUACUAGUUCCUAGCGUGAACUGUUGAUAGGCUUCAUGACUUAGCAGCUUGUGGUGAAUGUUGUUGCCCAGAGUACGGGGAAGUAUCCUCCCAGUGCCAAAAAUUCUAAAUGAUUUCACCAAGCCUUCAUGUAAAUGUAAAAAGUGCAUGGAUGCUCCCGAUUUAUUUCUGCUAUUUGUCUCACUUGCAGCAUUGAGGUGUUCCAGUGUUUUUACUAAUAAUUUCCGUGACGUGCAUUGGACAAAUUUCAAAUUGCAUUCAGCACACUCAAUAAUGUAUCCUACGUUCUGUGAAUAGCAAUUUAUAUAUUGGUUAAUUUUGAAUGUUUUAUUGCCUGCAAUAUUGCUAUAGUCUUCGCAAGGUUUAGCAAAACUACAAGUUUUACAGAUGUGCCACACUUCUAAUAUCCCUUAUUUUUGAGCCACCUAUUCACACUCUGCAUUUCCAAUGUCACUAAACUAGGUGAUAAAUAAAAGUUGAUGUAUCACUAUUGCGGACACACAUUGCUAACUAGCACAUUUGUUAUUUUCUUCCUCUGAGGCUGCAUCCUUCAGUGGGCUACUCCAGCCUUUCUCCUGGUAACUUUCUCCCUUUUAAAGCUGUCUAUAAGCUGCUGGAGAGUAGGGUUAGCCUCUAGCUCAUGCACAAGCUUACACAGUACUUGGCUCAUGCUGAUAAACAGUGAUUUUAGAAAAAAAAACACCACAUUUCCAAGUGACACACUGCUUAUGUAUGGCUAGCUAUCAUUACUUUGUUAUCUUUAAAAAAGGGCAUCAUAAACCUGAUAAUAGAUUCUCUUUAACCCCUUAACGACAUAGGACAUAAAUGUACGUCCUGGUGCGCUGAUGCCCGCCUUUAACCCCUCAGAUGCCGUGAUCAAUACAAAUCACGGCAUCUGCGGCAGUCCAUAAUGGCGGACGGAGGUCCCCUCACCUGCCUCCGUCUGUCUCCAGUGGUCUUCUGCUCUGGUCUGAGAUCGAGCAGACCAGAGUAUAUGUCAAAAUAUAAUGGUAUUGAUCCUGUACGGAGAACGACGUAAAAAAAAAAAAAAAGUCCAAAAUUGCUGCUUUUUUGUCACACAAGAUGACAUUUUUUUUUAAAGAAAAUGAAUUAAAAGUUUAAAUGGGCACUGUCAGAUACAAAAACUUUUGAUAUGCUGUAAAGCAUGCAAAGCCAAAAUGUUUUGCAAUUGCUUUCAUUAGAAAAUUUUCAGUGUUUCA